CCUACAGCAAUUAUCUUCUCUGCUUUUCCUCGACCUCGAAAGACGAAGCAAUCGAGGGCGCAGUUACUCGUCACCGUCGUUGAUUCAUCCCCAACCGAGGCGCCCCACUACUCUGCAUCUUCGAUUCUUCAUCUCCCUUACUUCUACUUAAUCCUUUCCCAAUUCCCAGUCACUUCUACCCGUCGCCGUCCAGCUUUGCCGCCGCCUAGGGGCAGCUCGCUCGCCGCCCGCUAGGGCUGCUCCCUCGACGCCCCUCCUUCCUCCGGCUAGAGCCUCUCCCAGGCUGCCCUUCCUUCCCGCCGACUAGAUCUGCUCGCUGGCCGCCCUUCCUUGACGCCGGGUAGGGCUCUUCACUACUCCUCCAGCGACCAUGGCCGGCAGAGGUCAAAGAGUCAAAGCUCAAAAAUCACGUGGAGUGGAGAAGCAGAGCAACGUUAGUUCAAGGGAAGAGGUUGUUGGAAUGGCGUCCCCUAACACCGGCUCGUCACCAUCACCCGCAGAAGAGAGGUCAGCUGUGAAUAUGUCCGCAAUACAACAAGCUGAUGCUACUGAAAGUGAGGUAGUGAAUGCUGGUACACAAUCUGGUUCUAAGAGAAAACGUAGAUCUGUGGUUUGGAAUGAUUUUGAGGAAGUAAUUGUUGAUGGGAAAUUGAAAGCUGAAUGUGUGUUCUGUCACAAGAAACUUAGUGGGGAACAGUCUCAUGGGACCUCACAUUUAAGGUCUCAUUUGGAAACAUGUGAUGCUAAGAAAUCCAAAGAUUCAAAACAACAAAAAUUGAGGUUGACAAAAGGUGAUGCUGGGAAAGUCAAUUUAGAAAACUAUGUAUUCGACCAAGAUGUUGCUAGGAAAGAACUUGCUAUCAUGAUAUGUGUGCAUGAGUACCCUCUGUCCAUUGUUGAUCAUGCUGGUUUCAGAUCUUUUUGUGCAUCUUUACAACCUAUGUUCAAGAUGGUCAGUAGAAAUACAAUUAAGAAUGAUAUAAUUGGUCUCCAUCAAACACAAAAGAACGCCAUGAUCCAGUAUUUCGCAAAAUUCAACCAUCGAGUGGCUGUGACUAGUGACUUGUGGACUGCUGGACAUCAAAAGAAAGGCUAUAUGGUUGUUACUGCACAUUUCAUUGAUGAAGACUAGGAAUUAAAGAGUUUUCUCUUAAGGUUCAUGUAUGUGCCAUGCCCUCAUAACCCUGAAGUUAUAUGCGAAGCACUACAUCAAGUCCUCGUCGAGUGGCAUCUUGAGAGGAAGAUAUCUACAGUGACUCUUGACAAUUGUGCGGCAAAUGAUAAAGCUAUUUGGAAUAUGGAAGAUAAGUUGGAUUCUAACUCUCUUAUGUUGCAAGGCAAGCUAAUCCAUAUGCGUUGUUGUGCACAUAUAUUAAAUUUGAUUGUUCAAGAUGGAAUGAGUGUCUUGAAAGAAGGUAUAGAGAGGGUCCGUGAUAGUUUUGCUUAUUGGUCAGCCACACCAAAGAGGCAUGAAAGGUUUGAAAAGAUGGCACGGACUCUGAACAUUCCAUACACUAGAAAGAUUGGACUUGAUUGUAAAACACGAUGGAACUCAACUUAUCUCAUGCUUAGCACUACAUUGCAAUAUCAAGAAUUUUUUUAUCGUCUAAGUUGACAAGUUAAACAGUUUGAGUGUUGUCCAACAAUAGAAGAUUGGAAUUUUGCGAAGGAGGUUUGUGAUAAGCUAAAGAUCCUUUAUGGUAUCACAGAGUUAUUGUCGGGCACUAAAUACGUGACAUCUAAUAUUUUCUUUCCAAAGAUAUGAUGUAUUCGUUUGGCAAUAAGGAAAUGGUCAGCUAGUAAUAAUGAAUUGAUGCAAAAGAUGUCCGAAGAAAUGAAGGAAAAGUUCGAUAAGUAUUGGCUUGAUGUGCAUGGUCUUAUGGCCAUGGCCACUAUUCUUGAUCCUAGGUAUAAAACUCACAUGCUGCAUGCUUUAUUUGGAUCUCUUUAUGGAUAUGAACAUGUUGCCAAUAAAGUUGAUGAGAUAAAAAACUUAUGGUUGAAUUGUUGCUUGAAUACCAAGAAUCCGACGAGCCUGCUGCUUCUGUCCAAGUUGCUAUCCAAGCUGACAAAGAUCAGGACGAUGAAGCGGGCAUAUUACUUGAUCAAUAUAUGAUGCAGCAGCCCAUUGUUUCUUCUCAGCUACACACAGAAUUGGACUUGUACUUGGAGGAGCCUGCUCUCCCUAGAACACAAGAGGUUGACAUCAUUACUUGGUGGAAGGUUGGAGGUAUGAAGUAUCCCACCUUGCAAAGGAUUGCUCAUGAUAUAUUACCCAUUCCAGUCACAACCGUGGCAUCCGAAUCUGCAUUUAGUACCAGCGGCAGAAUACUUAGUGCACAUCGAAGUCUCCUUGCACCCAAAACCGCUGAAGCUCUUAUGUGCAUGCAAGCAUGGAGUCGUGCUAAUAUGUUUGAUAAUGUCACAUCCGACCACUUUGCGAUUCAAUCUGUUCUUGAAGAUGAACAAGAAGCUAUGGAGGAAUGUGUACACCAUUGAAGACUAAAAUGAGCAAGUGGCGUGCAGGAGGGACGUGCUGUUAGCAUUGAAGCAUGGGCGCACAUUGUUGUUAUUCAUGCCAUGUUGUUUGGCUCAUUGGUUGAUUGUUCUUAGCAUUGCAAGUUCGCAAAUUAUUAUUUUUCUUAAUGUUAGUUUGUAAUGGAGAAUAAGACCUUUAAUUGUGUGUCAAAUGUCAUUGUGAAC